rnacentral:rRNA from 1 species
UACGGGGGGGGCAAGCGUUGUUCGGAAUUACUGGGCGUAAAGGGCUCGUAGGCGGCCAACUAAGUCAGACGUGAAAUCCCUCGGCUUAACCGGGGAACUGCGUCUGAUACUGGAUGGCUUGAGUUUGGGAGAGGGAUGCGGAAUUCCAGGUGUAGCGGUGAAAUGCGUAGAUAUCUGGAGGAACACCGGUGGCGAAGGCGGCAUCCUGGACCGAAAUUGACGCUGAGGCGCGAAAGCCAGGGGAGCAAACGGG